rnacentral:rRNA from 1 species
AGUGAACGCUGGCGGUAGGCCUAACACAUGCAAGUCGAACGGCAGCACAGUAAGAGCUUGCUCUUACGGGUGGCGAGUGGCGGACGGGUGAGGAAUACAUCGGAAUCUACUUUUUGGUGGGGAUAACGUAGGGGAACUUACGCCAAUACCCCCUACGACCCACGGGUGAAAACAGGGGAACCUUCGACCCUUCGCGAAUUGAUGAGCCGGAUGUCGAAUUAGCUAGUUGGGGGGGUAAAGGCCCACCAAGGCGACGAUCCGUAGCUGGUCUGAGAGGAUGAUCAGCCACACUGGAACUGAGACACGGUCCAGACUCCUACGGGAGGCAGCAGUGGGGAAUAUUGGACAAUGGGCGCAAGCCUGAUCCAGCCAUACCGCGUGGGUGAAGAAGGCCUUCGGGUUGUAAAGCCCUUUUGUUGGGAAAGAAAAGCAGCAGGUUAAUACCCCGCUGUUCUGACGGUACCCAAAGAAUAAGCACCGGCUAACUUCGUG